UACGUAGGGGCCUAGCGUUGUCCGGAUUUAUUGGGCGUAAAGAGCGUGUAGGCGGCCAGGUAGGUCGGUUGUGAAAACUGGAGGCUCAACCUUCAGAGGUCGACCGAAACCAUCUGGCUAGAGUCCGGGAGAGGAGAGUGGAAUUCCUGGUGUAGCGGUGAAAUGCGCAGAUAUCAGGAAGAACACCCGUGGCGAAAGCGGCUCUCUGGAACGGUACUGACGCUGAGACGCGAAAGCGUGGGGAGCGAACAGG
rnacentral:rRNA from 1 species